rnacentral:rRNA from 1 species
UACGUAGGGGGCUAGCGUUGUCCGGAUUUAUUGGGCGUAAAGAGCGUGUAGGCGGCUAUGCAGGUCCGCUGUGUAAACUCGAGGCUCAACCUCGAGACGUCGGUGGAAACCGCAUGGCUAGAGUCCGGAAGAGGAGAGUGGAAUUCCCGGUGUAGCGGUGAAAUGCGCAGAUAUCGGGAAGAACACCCGUGGCGAAGGCGGCUCUCUGGGACGGUACUGACGCUGAGACGCGAAAGCGUGGGGAGCGAACAGG